AUCCAGUUGAUGAUUCUUAAAUAGGACGAAACGCGCGUCUUGGAU
rfam:Schistosoma haematobium scaffold201_12, whole genome shotgun sequence.